rnacentral:rRNA from 1 species
AGAGUUUGAUUCUGGCUCAGGAUGAACGCUGGCGGUAUGCUUAACAUGCAAGUUGAACGAAGAUAAUAGUUCAUUGAAUUAUAAUACUUAGUAGCGGACGGGUGAGUAACGCGUAAGAAUCUACCUUUAGGAAAAGGAUAACAACUGGAAACGGUUGCUAAUACUUUAUAUGCUGAGAAGUUAAAUAGGUUACUGCCUAAAGAUGAGCUUGCGUCUGAUUAGCUAGUUGGUAAGGUAAAGGCUUACCAAGGCAAUUAUCAGUAGUUGGUCUGAGAGGAUGAUCAGCCACACUGGGACUGAGACACGGCCCAGACUCCUACGGGAGGCAGCAGUGAGGAAUUUUUCGCAAUGGGCGCAAGCCUGACGAAGCAAUACCGCGUGAAGGAUGAAGGCCUGCGGGUUGUAAACUUCUUUUAUUAGAGAAGAUAAUGACGGUAUCUAAUGAAUAAGCAUCGGCUAAAUAUGUGCCAGCAGCCGCGGUAAGACAUAUGAUGCAAGCGUUAUCCGGAAUGAUUGGGCGUAAAGCGUCUGUAGGUUGUUUAAAAAGUCAACUGUCAAAAACUAAAGCUCAACUUUAGGCAGGCAGUUGAAACUUUUAGACUAGAGUAUGGCAGAGGUAGAGGGAAUUACUGGUGUAACGGUGAAAUGUGCAGAUAUCAGUAAGAACACCAAUGGCGAAAGCACUCUACUGGACCAAAACUGACACUCAGAGACGAAAGCUAGGGGAGCGAAUAGGAUUAGAUACCCUAGUAGUCCUAGCUGUAAACGAU